CACAAGCGGUGGAUGAUGUGGAUUAAUUCGAUGCAACGCGAAAACCUUACCUACCCUUGACAUGUCUGGAACCUUGGUGAGAGCCGAGGGUGCCUUCGGGAGCCAGAACACAGGUGCUGCAUGGCUGUCGUCAGCUCGUGUCGUGAGAUGUUGGGUUAAGUCCCGCAACGAGCGCAACCCUUAUCAUUAGUUGCUACGCAAGGGCACUCUAAUGAGACUGCCGGUGACAAACCGGAGGAAGGUGGGGAUGACGUCAAGUCCUCAUGGCCCUUAUGGGUAGGGCUUCACACGUCAUACAAUGGUCGGUACAGAGGGUUGCCAAGCCGCGAGGCGGAGCCAAUCCCACAAAGCCGAUCGUAGUCCGGAUUGUUCUCUGCAACUCGAGAGCAUGAAGUCGGAAUCGCUAGUAAUCGCAGGUCAGCAUACUGCGGUCGAAUACGUUCCCGGGCCUU
rnacentral:rRNA from 1 species